GACGAACGCUGGCGGCGUGCCUAAUACAUGCAAGUAGAACGCUGAAGGAGGAGCUUGCUUCUCUGGAUGAGUUGCGAACGGGUGAGUAACGCGUAGGUAACCUGCCUGGUAGCGGGGGAUAACUAUUGGAAACGAUAGCUAAUACCGCAUAAUAGUAGAUGUUGCAUGACAUUUGCUUAAAAGGUGCAAUUGCAUCACUACCAGAUGGACCUGCGUUGUAUUAGCUAGUUGGUGGGGUAACGGCUCACCAAGGCGACGAUACAUAGCCGACCUGAGAGGGUGAUCGGCCACACUGGGACUGAGACACGGCCCAGACUCCUACGGGAGGCAGCAGUAGGGAAUCUUCGGCAAUGGACGGAAGUCUGACCGAGCAACGCCGCGUGAGGGAAGAAGGUUGUCGGAUCGUAAAGCUCUGUUGUAAGAGAAGAACGAGUGUGAGAGUGGAAAGUUCACACUGUGACGGUAUCUUACCAGAAAGGGACGGCUAACUACGUG
rnacentral:rRNA from 1 species